UCUAGGUUGAUAUCAGAGAUGCACAUGACCUGAAGGAUCUGCAUGUGAUGCCAGUUGAGCCCCAGAAAGGCAGUGCGACCUCAGAAUUGCUGAGCAGAAAAAAGACUGCUGGAGAAGUAGCUGGAGUGAGAAUCAAGACAACCAGAUCACAGGACUGGACCUUCCAUAAUCCACGUGAUACUGGGGAGGGGGCGGAGCCUUCUCUGAGAAGCUUGGAAGUGAGCUGUGCCUGGCCAGUCUUGGGGGAGGGGCUGCAUUUCACGAGGCUGCAGCUGACAAGAAGCUUCAAGUAUCCUCCACAUUGUCCCAUUCAAACAACGUGUUCAAGCGCCCUUGGGAAACUCAGCUGGAGAAGAACAGGCCACACAAGCAGUAUACCCUUUAUGGUUCUAAGAAAAAAGAGGCUUUGAUUAGAGUAUUGCUUUUGGUAGAAACUGCCUUAGCGGUGUCAAGAAUAGCCAGACACCUCAAUCUCUGAAUAGUAACCUCUUGGUACAAGUAUCUAAAUCAUAAUGGAAGCCGAGUAUGUCCUGUGCAAUUGGAAAGACCAGUUAUGGCCGGCUAAGGUUUUGUCUAGAUCUGAAAUAUCAUCAAACAAUAAGAGAAAAAAGACAUUUUCCCUAGAAGUUCAAAUACUCUCACUGGAUGAAAAAAUUAAAGUGGAAAGCACAGAAGCAAAGAUUCUAAGUAAAUCUCAAAUUGAAGCCCUUGCUUCCUCACUAGCAGCACAGUCAGAAGGCAGUGAUCUACCUAUAGAGGAAACAGCCUAUGAAAGGUCACUAAAAGUGGCACUGGAUAUUCUAAAUGAGAGAACAAAUGUGAGUCAGGCAAGCAGUUCAGACGAA
rnacentral:lncRNA from 1 species